rfam:Picea glauca, whole genome shotgun sequence.
GCAAUGGUGUCUUUAGACACCACCACCUUUCUCGGGGAAGCUAUA